UCACUUUGAUUUGUUUAUUUAAUGUCUUUUUUUGUGUGUUCGAGACAGUCUCACUCUGUUGCCCAGGCUGGAGUGCAGUGGCGCAAUCUGGGCUCACUGCAACCUCGCCUCCCGGGUUCAAGCCCAGUGCCUCGGCCUCCAGAGUAGCUGGGACUACAGGCAUGCACCACCAUGUCCAGCUAAUUUUGUUUCUGAGACGGAGUUGCCCAGGCUGGAGUACAAUGGUGCAAUCUCGGCUCACCUCAACCUCCGCCUCCCGGAUUCAAGCGAUUCUUCUGCCUCAGCCUCCCAAGUAACUGGGAUUACAGGCAUGCGCCACCACGCCAGGCUAAUUUUGUAUUUUUAGUUGAGUCAGGGUUUCUCCAUGUUGGUCAGGCUGAUCUCAAAACUCCUGACAUCAGGUUAUCCACCCGCCUUGGCCUCCCAAAGUGCUGGGAUUACAGGCGUGAGCUACCAUGCCUGACUCAGCUAAUUUAUUUUUAAUAUGUUUAGUAGAGAUGAGGUUUUGCCAUGUUGGCCAGGCUGGUCUCAAACUCCUGCCCUCAAGCAAUCCGUUGGCCUCAGCCUCCCAAAGUGCUAGGAUGACAGGUGUGAGCCACUGCGUCCAGCCUGUUUAAUGUCUUAUAGUGGGGUAAUCUCAGAAACAAGGAGGGAUGGGAAGAAGAUAAGUGCCGAGAAGUCUGCUGGUUGGAACACUUCAUCUCACUGGAAGAAAAGGAUGAGUAAAUCACUGGAAACUCUUAAUGCAAAAAGCGCAAGCUGAAUCUGCAUCACAGACCUGGCUUUUGUUUACCCUGCACCUCUUGGCCAGGCAGUCCUAGGGGAGGAUGAACGUGUUUUGGCCUAUGCCUUUCAUUCUUUGUCAGGGAAUGAUGUGACCUUCCUGGGAACCAGGCAAGUCUCCAAGGCCCUGUCUCCUGUCUCUGUUGACGCUUUCCCUUCCUGAUGCUGCAUUUUCCAAAGAUAGCUAUAGAAAUGUCUCCCAUCCCAUGUGUAUUCCUACAGCGUGACCUGGCCACAUCCUCCCUGAGAGGUGCAGUCUAGGUCUCCUUCCCUUUAAUUGUCCCUUUUUACCCAGGAUAUUCUCAGUAUUUGAAAGGAAGAUCCCCAAAACUAGCAAAGGGCUGGGCAUGGUGGCUCAUGCCUGUAAUCCCAGCACUUUGGGAAGCCGAGGCGGAUAGAUCACUUGAGGUCAGGGGUUUGAGACCAGCCUGGCCAACAUGGUGAACCCCCGUCUCUACUAAAAAUACAAAAAAUUAGGUGGGCAUGGUGGCACAUGCCUGUAAUCUUAGCUACUUGGGAGGCUGAGACAGGAGAAUCGCAUGAACCUGGAAGGCUUCCAGUGACCUCAGAUUGCGCCACUGCACUCCAGCCUGGGCAACAGAGUGAGACUCCAUCUCAACAACAACAACAACAAAAAUGUAAUCCUAGCACUUUGGGAAUCUGAGGUGGGUGGAUCACGAGGUCAUAAGAUCAAGACCAUUCCGGCCAACAUGGUGAAACCCUGUCUCCAAAAAAAAAGACAAAAGGAAAAAAAAAAGACAUACCUCUCAGAAAUGAGACUUUGCAGUCCACAAAUAUUGAUUUGACUUUUCAGUGUGAAAGGUGAUGAAGUAGUUGGUGGAAAGGGGUUGGAGGGGCUGGGUCCAGUUGAUCCUGGGGCAGUCCCUGUGUCCUGGGCAUCACCACCCUUUCACUACACGGGGACUAGGUGACAAGAAGAGGGUGUCACAGGAGGUUGAGCAUGCACACAGGAUUCUGGGGUGAGCAGCAGGCAGACUCUUCGCUAAGAUGGGCUCUCUAGUAAUAAUUUGCCAAAAUGCUUCCUACCUGAAGCAACAGUCCUCAAACACUGAUGGAAGAGAGUCUCAUUUAGCAUGGAAAGAAGGAGAAGAAGUAUCUCAGAAUACACACCUGGAGAUGUACAGGAGUACCCAGAGAAAAGCUUCAAGUGAACAGAGGAACAGACACAGAACCUGAGUAAAUGAAGAAACAUUUUCCAUUCUGAGACAGAAAGACAGCAUGGCAAGGAUAUCUCUCUCUCUAAGUUAAUCUAGACAUUUAAGGUAGGCCAAAAACAAAGAUAAAAGCUUGAAUUUUCCCUUUAGCUUAGUGAUUUUGGGGGCCCAAGGUAUUUUCCUGGCUGGGUGCAGUGGCUCAUGCCCAUAAUCCCAACAUUUUGGGAGGCCGAGACGGAUGGGUGACUUGAGGUCAGGAGUUUGAGACCAGCCUGGACAACAUGGUGGAGACCCUAUCUCUACUAAAGAUGCAAAAAUUAGCUGGUGUGGUGGUGUACAGCUGUAAUCCCAGCUGCUUAGGAGGCUGAGGCAGGAGAAUAUCUUGAAUCCAGGAGGCAGAGGUUGCAGUGAACCGAGAUCAUCCCACUGCACUCCAGCCUGGGUGACAGAGCAAGACUCUGUCUCAAAAAAAAUUUUUUAAAGAUAUUUUCAUUUCAUAAUCCUAAGUUAAAAAGGAAGUGGUCUUUGACUCUGUGGAAAGGAUGGGGUCUGGAGGUUGAGCUUAAUUACUAAUGACUAAUGAUUUAGUCACUCACACCUACAUAAGGAAGACUCCACAAACUCCCUAAACAGCGGGGUUCAGAGAGCUUACCGGUGGAUGAACACCUGAAACCUGGAGCUGCCGAGAGGGUGGGGCACCUGGAGAGGGUGUGAGGCCUCCGCGUCACCGCAUACCUUGCCUUCCACAUCUCUUCCAUCUGGCUGUUUCUGAGUUGUAUCCUUUAUAUAACGCUGGUAAAGCGUGUUCCUGAGUUCUGCGAGUCAUUCUAGCAAAUUACCAAAGCUGAGGAGGGGUCGUGGAAACCUCAGUUCAUAGCCAGUUAGUUGGUCAAAAGUACAGGAGACCCAGGACUUGUGAUUGGUGUGUGAAGUGGGGAUGGAGACAGUAUGUGGGGCUGCACCCUUAACUUGUGGGAUCUCCUGCCACUUCCAGGAAGAUAGUCUCAGAACUGGGUAGAAUUCAUUGUAGGACACCCAGUUGAUGUAGGAGACUUGGAGAAAUGGUGCUGGAAAAGACACCACACAUGUGACAUCAGAAGUGUGGUGGGGAAAAUCCUUGCUCCUUUUGGUGUCAAAAAUGUGGGAUUUGCAUCAGGCUGGGCGUGGUGGUUCACACCUGUAAUCCUAGCACUUUGGGAGACCAAGGUGGGUGGAUCACAAGGUUAGGAGUUUGAGACCAGCCUGGCCAACAUAGUGAAACCUGGUUUCUACUAAAAAUGCAAAACUAUUAGCUGGACAUGGUGGCAGGCACCUGUAAUCCCAGCUACUUGGGAGGCUGAGGCAGGAGAAUGGCUUGAACCUGGGAGGCAGAGUAAGCAGUGAGCCGAUAUCACACUGUUGUACUCCAGCCUGGGCAACAAUGAGACACCGUCUCAAAAAAAAAAAAAAAGUGGGAUUUGAUAGAAAGGCACUGGCUCAUAGAAGCAUAUGGUUUGGGAAGAGAAAGGGUAAAAGGGUAUGGGGUGGGGAACCUUUGAUUCCUGGGUGGCCGUGUGGUCACCCAUGAUAUGGAGCCAUAGCUGUGCUGCAAUCAGUUACUAAAGGUGAAAGUUACCAGUGGAAUUUAGAGAUGCAUCCAACUCCCGGGGAACUGAUUCACUGGAAUCAUAAGAAAUGCAAAAUAAUAAGAAAAAAGCAAAAUAUACAAUCUCUCGGUUAUUGCUAACCUGUAUUAGCUAAAAUGAAAGUAAAUGAGAGUGCCGGGUGGACCUUGAGGCUGGACCAGGGUCAGAUUUGGGUUGGCCUGAGCUUAGUCACUAGUUUCAGGGCACCUCUCGAGAGAAGAAAUAUGAGGGGACAAAAAGAGUCCUUCUAAGACCUAUGGUCACGAAGAAGGUAGUGAGGGUGGUGGGAAAAAAAACAGUAACUACUGAGAUCAGGAGUUACAGAGCACGGAACUGACUCAUUUUGUGAAUCAGUAUCAUUAGCUUCUUGAUGAGCCUUUACCAACCCGAAUUCUGAGAAUAACUAAUUUAGGGGCAGUAUCUUUGUUUUUGAAUACUGCAGAGUGGAAGAGCAUGCGUGGGUUGAUACAGGACCCACAGCUCACUAUGGAACAAUCACAGAUAGCUGUACAUGAUUCAGACACACAGGAGGUUAUUCCCAAGGGAAGAGCCAGCUUGGUGGACUGGAUAAAAGCCACUAUAAGAUCUAAUUAUUCUGAAAAGGGGGCUUGCCUGACUCCCCUAUCAAUGCCAAGUGGAGCACCACAGCUGACAUGCUUCAAAUGCAAGCCAUGUGGGAUUAGCUUAUGAUGGGAUACUCAGCCGCUGAUUACGCCUGUUACCCACGUCAUGGUAAAUGCUGUGGUUCAGGGAGCUCCUUUAUGUGGACACCCCAUAUGACCUCGCUAUUGAAAAUGGAGGGAAAGUUCCAGAAGCCUUAUCAAAUUUUCUGUUUCAGCUUCCUUGCAUGGGUCUUACAGGUGCUAAUAAAAAUACUGGGUUAAUUAAUAAGUGAAUGAGGAAAGGCAGAGGGGAGAGUCAGGGACACCUUGAUAAGGGAGCCCCCUGCACUGUGGGACCAGUGCUUGUUGGUGAAGCUUAACCCAGCGGCAAUGAUACUGAGAGAAUAUAGAAAUGUAAGGACUGGGAGCAUUAGGGUGAAAGAUUGCAUGAACAUCGGAGUGUGAAACAGGCUGAAUGUGAAGAGGGUGUGUCUCUUUCCUGAGUGUUUUAUGGGAGUGAAUAUCAUGGCUGACUGUGGAAGGCCUCCUCUACCUAGUGUUGUAAAACCAAAAAUUGUUGGGGAGGUCCUAAUGAAGGCUUCACUUAGGAAGAGCAGGAUUGAUGAGAUUAAGGUGAAAGUAAGAGUAAAAAUUGGUAUGUUUGAAGUUGCUGUAUCUCUUUUACCGGAACAUCCUAUGGAGAUGGACUGGUAUCUUACUGGGGAACUGCUGCUACAAAACAGAAGGCAUUACACUUGCUUUUCAAGCAGUAUUAAUUGGACACGCUAUGUGGGGAGCAGAAAGACUGCCUGAGCCCACACGGUGCAGAGUAGAAGCUGGAGUGCUGGGAGAGACGGACUCAUGGUGGGAUACCCCUGUGUGGAGUGGAAAGUGGGGCCAAUGGAGAAAGCCUGGAGAAGAAUCCCAGUCACACCCACUGGGCUUUGGACCAGUGAAUUUCCACUUGGGGGCAUUUACUAGCUUGCUAUCAGACAUUAAUGGAGCCACCCCUAUGACAAAAGGACAUAAAAUAAUCUGGAAACCGAAAAUACCCACAAUGUCCUAUGUGAUGUCAGAGAAACAUUCUAGUGCGGAUGGCAGUGCUCAGAGGAGCUCCAUAAUAAGAUGAAAGUGGUUUACACAGGAUUGUGCUGCAGAAACUCACAAACAGGGAGCCUCUUUUCCCCAGGACUGACUCAGAAAUCGCAUUAGGAGCAGCCAGAUUCUUUUAUCACAUGAACAGUGCUCUAUAAAUAAACUGCUCUCGACUGACCAGCAAAGAGUUGCAUGGUGUGUUGAUGACAGUUCCAAGGUGAUCAGACUGUCUGGAAACAUGCCCCUCUGAUUGAAGAAGGUAAAAACAAAUCAGCUCGGUGGGUUGGAUUUCUAGCAGUGAUGGAAGAGUUGAAGAGUGAUGGAGUUAUAUGUCAAUGAUGCUGUACACACGCUCCCUCCUCCUGCCUUCUCUGUCAUCCGGCCUGUGCUCAUCAAACUAAUGUGGACGUGAAUCACCUGGGGACAUCGUUGAAUGAAGGUUUUGAUUCAACAGCUCAGGGGUGAGCUGAAUCUCUGCAUUUACUCACAAGCUCCCAGGAGAUGCCACUUAGAGACAGGGUUUCACCAUAUUGGUCAUGCUGGCCUCGAACUCCUGAUCUCAAGUGAUCCACCCACCUCGGCCUCCCAAAGUGCUGGGAUUACAGACGUGAGCCACUGCGCUGGCCAUGAAUGGACUGAUAUUGAAUGUAGCCAAUGCACAGAUUAUUUAAGGAUCAAUUCGGAGAAGUAGAAUUAAUGGGUUAAUGAUCAUUGAAUCAUUCUAAGGCCUUUUCUUUUAAUCACAAAAUUAUACCAAAUUAUUCCCUUUAGCAGUUUCGCAGUCUAACCAUUGAAUAUGGAUAAUAAUGUAUGUAACCCUUUUCAAAUUCCAUACGUAAGACGGAAAUUAUUAUUGUUUUAAUUUGCACUUUGAUUUAUAGUAUGGUUGAAUGUAGUUUCUUUUGUAAAUAGUUUGCUUACGUUUUCUGUCCUCACUGAACUACAGGGUCAUGUUUGCCUUAACCAGUGUGCACAAAUCAUUAAUAUUAAGGUUAUAACCUCUUAUGUUUGCUACACGCUCCCUCUUUGUCAUAUUUAAUUUUAAACAUAAAAUUGUUUUUAAUUUGACAUUUUUUACAUUUUCAAUGCAGUCUACAAUAUGAACAUUCUACUGUGUAAUUUUUUCCAUUAAUAUUAAGCUGAAACAUUUUUUCCCACCUAGAAAAUGAAUAUCUUUAUUUUCUUCUGCUCCCUGUAAGUUUGUAUUUAAAUAUUUUCUUAUUUAUUUAUUUGAGAUGGAGCCUUGCUCUGGCCUCCAGGCUGGAAUACAAUGGUGUGAUGUCUGCUCACUGUAACCUUCACUUCCCAGGUUCAAGGGAUUCUCCAGCCUCAGCCUCCUGAGUAGCUGGGACUACAGGUGCCCGCCACCAUGCCCGGCUAAUUUUUGUAUUAGACACGGGGUCUCACCACAUUGGCCAGGCAGGUCUUGAACUCCUGAUUGCUGGUGAUUCACCAACUCAGCCUCCCAAAGUGCUGGGAUUACAGGUGUGAAUCACUGCACCUGGCCUAAAUAUUGUCUUUUUUAAAUUCACAUAUCCAGAACUGGUGGCUUUCAGAACCUCAUUCUAGGUCAUGUGAUUAACUAAUUUAUUCAUUCAUUUAAUCAUCCAUGAGUUCAAGAAAUAAUUAUUUGGUGCCAAUUCUUAACUCUGUGCUAGGAAUUGGAACACCAGCAUUUCCUUUCGUGACAAGCAAGUGUAGACACAACUCCGAGAGGUUCUGUUCGGCGUCUCGGGAAAGUGGUCCAGGGACCGGGGACACCUAGGGAAGAAUGAAACUCACCAGGGCUCGGGAAACGAGGUGAUUCAGACGCAGGGUUUUAAGCUUCAGAUGGAAGGGUGAGGAAAGCGUGUUUGAAGAGGGGCAGGUAUGCUGAGUUUUAAGGCUGUGAGGAGGAGGAAGCCUCCCGCACCAAGGCCUCAAGGUAGGAUGGGCUAAAGGUGUCCAGGGGACAGGUGGGACUAGACGCCAGCCCAGCUCAGGGAGAGACCAGGUGAAGAGGCAGGCAGCCUCCUGGGAUUCCAUUCCAUGGCAGGCGCAGUGUGCAGGGAGCACAGCUAAUCUAGGAUUACAUCUGGAUCGUCACAGUACAGUAGAUAUUCUCACAGGACGUAGAUUCUUAUAUUUGAAUAUACAGAUUGUUAUACUAGAUUAGAUCUGCUAUACACUAUGGGCCUAAUCUAUAUCUUGGUUACAUUUUCUCCAUCUCCAGGGCUGCACCCCACAGAGGGGCAGGAGUGGAGCAGAAGCUCUGGCCGUCAAGCAGGAAGUGACGGUGGCCUGGAUCAGCACAAUGGCUGCUGAGUGGGAAAGGGGACAAGUACGAAGGCUACAUGGAGGUAGCUUGCUCAAGAACUGGAUGUGGUGCAUGAAGAGAAGGGAGAAAGAAAGACGAAUUCUUGGGCUUUGGUCUGAAAUUGGGUGAAUGUACCAUUUACUAGGAUUGAGGCAGAGGGCAAGUGAAGAAUUUUGUUUCAAUUUAAACUUUGAGAUGACACAGGUAUUGAGACGGUAAGGGGUAGAAAUUUGGGUUUGGAGUUUGUGGGGGGAUUCUGGGUUGAUUUUGAAUUUGGAAGCAGGUAGGUGUUAUUUAAAGUCCAUAGUGUAGGCUGGGCGUGGUGGCUCAUGCCUGUGAUCUUAGUACUUUGGGAGGCCAAGGUGGGCAGAUCACUUGAGGUCAGGAGUUCAAGACCAGCCUGGCCAACAUGGUGGAAAUCCCAUCUCUACUAAAAAUACAGAAAUUAGCCAGGCAUGGUAGUACACACUUACGUCCCAUCUACUCGGGAGGCUGAGGCAGGAGAAUUGCUUGAACCCAGGAGGCGGAGGUUGUGGUGAGCUGAGAUUGUACCAUUACACUCCAGCCUCAGCAACAAGGGUGAAACUCUGUCUCAAAUAACAAUAAUAAUAUAAUGUUUGUGAGUGGUCUUUCCCAUCCUCCUCAUUGCCAUGAAACUUCUCUGAAGAGGGGAUUUAUGAUGGGGCUACUCUCAGUUUUCUUCCUGGGAGUAGAAACUACCUAAGGGGAGUUUAUGACAGCCUCAGUUUUAAAGUUUCUGCUCGCAGUCCGAUAAGGAGUGCUCUGGCUUCUUUCUGCAUCUGUUGACUCUCAAAUGUCUUCAGCAUAAAAUAGUCUUUAUGCCAACUCUAGUGUUCCUAGUGGGUCCCCACAGUAGCUUGUCCAGAUAUGGGGCAGAGGGGAAGGGCGAAGGGAGCUUAAAUGCUGUCAUCAAACAGGCACCUCAUCCCACCUGCCGACCCCCGGGGCUCUGGUACAGAGAUGCCUUGCAGCAGAGUGGAGAAGUCAGCUGUCCAGGGCGGCAGCAAAGCCAAGAGAGGAGGAGAGAGAGGAGCCAAAUGGCCAGAAGGUUUCAAAGCAGAGGAGGGUCCCCUGGGUUCAAUGUGAUAAGGAGGCUGAGGCAUUCUCUGGAUUUGCCACAGGUGGGCUGGAGAUAGGAGUGGUUUCAAUGGAGUGGUAGAGCCGGAAGCCUAAUUGAAGAGUUUGUUAGAGAAGUGAGGGGUGGCAGAAUAUGCCACCCCAAAAUAUGCCACUUUGUCAUAAGGACUAUUUUGGACUGAAGGCAAUUGAGAGACAGCAGACAGAAGAAACGCUCCCUCUCGUGCCCCUGUUUCCAUAACAUAAAAACAGAAAUUGGUAAAGGUGCCCUCCUCCCCUCUCAACCAGGAAGGACAGAAGUUCAUUGUUAAUCAAAGGAGACGGCUUCAGACUCUCGGCAGCCUGGAGACAGCACCAGAGGAACCCACACAGCAAGCCUUGCCAACCACCCAUAUCCUCUCAUUAGUCUUCCCCUACAUUUGCCUUUCCACAAUUUGCAGCUCCUAGAAAACUCAGUCCUUGGCCUUGGCCUUGUCACUUCUCUGGUGUACUGCUCUUUGUUAAGAUGCUACACAACUAGCUGGGCGAGGUGGUUCAUGCCGGUAAUCCCAGCACUUUGGAAGGCCAAGGCUGCUGAGUCACAAGAUCAAGAGAUCGAGACCACCCUAGCCAACAUGGUGAAACCCUGUCUCUACUAAAAAUACAAAAAAAUUAGCUGGAUGUGGUGACGCGUGCCUGUAGUCCCAGCUACUAGGGAGGCUGAGGCAGGAGAAUCACUUGAACCCAGGAGGCAGAGGUUGCAAUGAGUCAAGAUUGAGCCACUGCACUCCAGCCUGGUGACAGAGUAAGACUCCAUCUCAAAAAAAAAGAUACUACAUAACCGCUCCUUUCGGUUACUCAUCUUUGAGUUUGGUGUGUCUGCACCGCACACGUUAAUAAACUUCUGUUUGUUUUUCUCUCA